rnacentral:lncRNA from 1 species
GGGCAGGAUGAGAAAAAUUGCCCAAGACCUCUGGGGGCCCUGGAUGGUGACAUUUCUGCUUCCGGUUCUUUCCAAAUGUGUUUGCAGAACACAUCUCCAUCCAACUCUCCUGGGAGACGGAAAGUCAAGGGAGCCAGUCACAAGGUGUCCUCAGCAGAACAAAGGCCUCCAGAGAUGUUCACACGCUGAUCUCAGGAGCUUAUCUGAGAAGAGUGUCCAUGAGGGAAAGGAUGGGCAGCUACAGAAGCUUGUUGGUAAUGGUCCAGCUGAAUGUUCUAAGGCAACGGGCAGUUUGCAGGGGAUGGACACAAGGAGAACUUGACCCUGUUUGCAAGUUUCCGGGGAAGGAGCUACGAGGACUCUGAGCCCUAAAGCUUCAGGUCAAGGGAACCAGCUGGCUACUCUGUGGACGGAUUAGCAGAGCCUUGGCGCUCGCCUGCUCCCCUUAGAAUCCCCAUCUCUAUCUUCCCUGUCAGGGCUAUCACAGAUGAAGCUGCCCUGACUGUUUCUGUAGGAGUCUUUGAAUACAUACGUUUUCUCUUCUCUUGAAUAAAUACGUUUUCAUUUCAUUUGGGAGUGGAGUGAUGGGUCAUCUGGCAGAAGGAUGUUUAACUUCUUAGGAAACGAACCAGCUGUUUUCUGAAGAGGCUGUGCCAUUUUUUCAUUCCCACCAGCAACAUCUGAGCUUUCCAGUCCCUUAAUAUCCACUCCAAUAGUCAUCUUGAGAGGUGCGUGGGGUUACCUCGGGAUGGUUUUAAUUUACACACAUUUCCCUGCUGGCUAAUGAUGGUGAACAUCUCUUCAUGAGCUGCUUGCUAGCUGUACAUCUUCUUCUGUGACAUGUGUGUCUUCAAAUCUAUUGUCCAUUAAAAGAAAUGUAUCAU